rnacentral:rRNA from 1 species
AUGAAAUGGGAGCUCGAGCUUGGAUGGUGUGGAGAGCAAUGGCAGCCACCCAAUCGGAGGAGGAAGAGGAGGAGGAAGGGGGAGGGGAUCAGGUCAGGGCGGAGGGGUUAUUUAUUGGCGGGGAAAGGACACUCCUGUAACUUCACACGCGAGGGCGUUCUGGUAAUCCCACCCGAGGGUGUUUCCGUAAUUCUCCGAGGCCACGGCAACGGCGUAUGUGCAUUCUAG